GGCAGGCCUAACACAUGCAAGUCGAGCGGUAGAGAGAAGCUUGCUUCUCUUGAGAGCGGCGGACGGGUGAGUAAUGCCUAGGAAUCUGCCUGGUAGUGGGGGAUAACGUUCGGAAACGGACGCUAAUACCGCAUACGUCCUACGGGAGAAAGCAGGGGACCUUCGGGCCUUGCGCUAUCAGAUGAGCCUAGGUCGGAUUAGCUAGUUGGUGGGGUAAUGGCUCACCAAGGCGACGAUCCGUAACUGGUCUGAGAGGAUGAUCAGUCACACUGGAACUGAGACACGGUCCAGACUCCUACGGGAGGCAGCAGUGGGGAAUAUUGGACAAUGGGCGAAAGCCUGAUCCAGCCAUGCCGCGUGUGUGAAGAAGGUCUUCGGAUUGUAAAGCACUUUAAGUUGGGAGGAAGGGUUGUAGAUUAAUACUCUGCAAUUUUGACGUUACCGACAGAAUAAGCACCCGGCUAACUCUGUGCCAGCAGCCGCGGUAAUACAGAGGGUGCAAGCGUUAAUCGGAAUUACUGGGCGUAAAGCGCGCGUAGAUGGUUAGUUAAGUUGGAUGUGAAAUCCCCGGGCU
rnacentral:rRNA from 1 species